rnacentral:rRNA from 1 species
AUUAUUAAAGGGCCGCGGUAUUCCUGACCGUGCGAAGGUAGCAUAAUCAUUAGUCUUUUAAUUGAAGGCUUGUAUGAAAGGUUGGACGAAAAAUGGACUGUUUCAAAUAAAAAGAUUGAAUUUAACUUUUAAGUGAAAAGGCUUAAAUAAAUUAAAAAGACGAUAAGACCCUAUAAAUCUUUACAUUUGUUAUUAUAGGUUUUGGAUUGUGUGUGUAAAAAAAAAUAUAAUAAAAAUGUUGUGUUGGGGCAACAGUGAUAUAGUAAUAUUAAUUGUUAAAAAUAAAAACAAAUAUAUUUGUUAAAUAAAGAUCCUUUUUAAAGAUUUAAAGAUUAAGUUACUUUAGGGAUAACAGCGUUAUUUUUUCUGAGAGUUCUUAUCGAAGAAAAAGAUUGCGACCUCGAUGUUGAAUUAAAAAUUCUUUUUAAUGCAGCAGUUAAAAAAGAAAGUCUGUUCGACUUUUAAAUUUUUACAUGAUUUGAGUUCAGACCGGCGUGAG